rnacentral:lncRNA from 1 species
CUCCUCUCUUCUCAUCCGCCCCAGUCUUGGCCCCGAAGCUGGGGAGUCGACACCCGUCGUUCCUCCUCCACCCCUCAGUCCAGUGGUCGUUUGGAAUGAUCUUCGCUUUCCUCCCAAUUUUUGGUGCUUCCCAUGGCUUCUCUCGCUCCCUCCUUCUCCCCCUCUAGCCUCAGCGGUAUUCGGAGAGGUGGCGCCAUGGAUCUCUGCGAAGCCUCCCACCUCUUCCCUCUCGCAGGGCAGCGAGGACUCCUCCGCUUUUCUCGACUCAAUAUCCCCAGACCGGUCAUCUUUCCGUGGGUUUUCUCUUCUUCUUUUCUUUUUUUUUUUUAGCUUUGGAAGUUAUUGCAUAUUUGUGGUCAACAAGGACGUCUUUUUACUGUAGUUGAAACGAGUCAAUGGAAAGACGAGAUUGAGC